AGCUGAGCAGACAGGGCUGCAAGGAAAUCUGGCGCGGUUCAAUACCUCGUCUAGCCUGGGUUCCAGUAUCUAAUUUUCUUUUUAACUGACAAACUCAUUUCUCUACCGGGACAGGAUGCUCUGCUGGCUGGAAGUUCCAUUUCUACAGCAAGAAUCCUAUCUGGAAACACAGAAGUUGUCCUCUAGCCACAGCAGCUCGAACUUUUUUGAUUGUUGUUGCUGCUUUCUCCCAUCACCCCCACCCCCUUUUGACAAAGAUCCAACUGUAAAAAGUCUUACGUAACAGUUCAGGACUACUUCGGUUCUUUUACUGGUAUAUCAAGAGGCCUCAAGAAGAGUAUGAAAACAAUUACAUGUCCAAGUUGGAGCAAUGUGGGUUUCAAUAUUUCGUAGUACCUUUGGAAAAGGAAAAGAGCUGAUGGACAUUUGGAUUGCUUCCAGAUUUGGGCCAUUAUAAAUAAUGCUGCUAUAAACACUCAUAUACAAGUCUUUGUGUAGACAUACAUUUACAUUUCUCCUGGGUAGAUACCUUGGAGUGAAACUGUUGCAUCAUAUGGUAAGUUUCUAUUUAACUUUUUUGUUUUGUUUUGUUUUUAAGAAAAGGAUUCGGGGAGGGGCAAAGUGAGAGGAAGACAGAAAC